rnacentral:rRNA from 1 species
GAUGAACGCUGGCGGCGUGCCUAAUACAUGCAAGUCGAGCGAACGGACGAGAAGCUUGCUUCUCUGAUGUUAGCGGCGGACGGGUGAGUAACACGUGGAUAACCUACCUAUAAGACUGGGAUAACUUCGGGAAACCGGAGCUAAUACCGGAUAAUAUUUUGAACCGCAUGGUUCAAAAGUGAAAGACGGUGUUGCUGUCACUUAUAGAUGGAUCCGCGCUGCAUUAGCUAGUUGGUAAGGUAACGGCUUACCACGGCAACGAUGCAUAGCCGACCUGAGAGAGUGAUAGGCCACACUGGAGCUUAAACACGCACCAGAGUCCUACGGGAGGCAGCAGUAGGGAAUCUUCCGCAGUGGGCGAAAGCCUGACGGAGCAACGCCGCGUGAGUGAUGAAGGUCCUCGGAUCGUAAAACUCUGUUAUGAGGGAAGAACAUAUGUGUAAGGAACUGUGCACAUCUUGACGGUACCUAAUCAGAAAGCCACGGCUAACUACGUG